rnacentral:rRNA from 1 species
UACGUAGGCAGCGAGCGUUGUUCGGAGUUACUGGGCGUAAAGAGUGCGUAGGCGGCGCUCCAAGUUUGGUGUGAAAUCUCCCGGCUUAACUGGGAGGGUGCGCCGAAAACUGGGGUGCUAGAGUGCGGGAGAGGUAAGCGGAAUUCCUGGUGUAGCGGUGAAAUGCGUAGAUAUCAGGAGGAACACCGGUGGCGAAGGCGGAUCUCUGGGCCGUAACUGACGCUGAGGAGCGAAAGCAUGGGUAGCGAACAGG